AGAGGACGAUCAGCCACACUGGGACUGAGACACGGCCCAGACUCCUACGGGAGGCAGCAGUAGGGAAUAUUGGACAAUGGGGGCAACCCUGAUCCAGCUAUGCCGCGUGUGUGAAGAAGGCUCUAGGGUUGUAAAGCACUUUAGGUAAGGACGAAAAGAAUAUAGUUAAUACCUAUAUUCCGUGACUUAACUUACAGAAUAAGGACCGGCUAACUCCGUGCCAGCAGCCGCGGUAAUACGGAGGGUCCAAGCGUUAAUCGGAAUUACUGGGCGUAAAGCGCGCGUAGAUGGUCUAUUCAGUUGGGUGUGAAAUCCCUGGGCUCAACCUAGGAACUGCAUUCAAAACUUAUAGACUAGAGUACGAAAGAGGAGAGUAGAAUUCAUGGUGUAGCGGUGAAAUGCGUAGAGAUCAUGAGGAAUACCAGUGGCGAAGGCGACUCUCUGGUUCGAGACUGACAUUGAGGUGCGAAAGCGUGGGUAGCAAACAGGAUUAGAUACCCUGGUAGUCCACGCCGUAAACGAUGAGAACUAGCCGUUGGAUCCUUGAGGUUCAGUGGCACAGCUAACGCAUUAAGUUCUCCGCCUGGGGAGUACGGCCGCAAGGCUAAAACUCAAAUGAAUUGACGGGGGCCCGCACAAGCGGUGGAGCAUGUGGUUUAAUUCGAUGCAACGCGAAAAACCUUACCAACCCUUGACAUCUAGUGAAAUUUCUAGAGAUAGAUUUGUGCCUUCGGGAACACUAUGACAGGUGUUGCAUGGCUGUCGUCAGCUCGUGUCGUGAGAUGUAUGGUUAAGUCCAGUAACGAGCGCAACCCCUAUUCUUAUUUGCCAGCACUUCGGGUGGGAACUAUAAGGAGACCGCCGUGUAUAACACGGAGGAAGGCGGGGACGACGUCAAGUCAUCAUGGCCCUUACGGGUUGGGCUACACACGUGCUACAAUGGGAGAUACAGAUGGUUGCGAAAGCGCGAGCUGAAGCCAAUCCCACAAAGUCUUCCUUAGUCCGGAUUGGAGUCUGCAACUCGACUCCAUGAAGCAGGAAUCGCUAGUAAUCGCGAAUCAGAAUGUCGCGGUGAAUACGUUCUCGGGCCUUGUACACACCGCCCGUCACGUCAUGGGAGUGUGUUGCACCAGAA
rnacentral:rRNA from 1 species